UUGAUUUCUUUCUUCCCCAUAAUUUCUCUAAACUCUCUCUGUUUCUUGCUUCCUGAUGAAUGAUUCUCGUGUUAUUGUUUGCAGAAGAUGAAACCAGCCUACAGAGAAUACCAACGAAGAGAAACAUCAGGAUGGCUAUGAGAUGGUUAGUUGAAGGGAACAGAGCGAGGGACUCACUUGUGUUCCAUUUCUCUGGUCAUGGAUCUCAGCAGAAGGACUACAAUGGGGACGAGAUCGACGGUCAAGAUGAAACCUUGUGCCCUUUAGACCAUGAAACAGAAGGAAAAAUCAUCGAUGACGAGAUUAACCGGAUACUCGUGAGGCCGCUCGUCCAUGGAGCUAAGCU
rnacentral:lncRNA from 1 species